rnacentral:ncRNA from 2 species
CGCCUCACCUCGGGGUGCCGGACCGUGCGAGACGCGCGCAAGGCUGAGAUGCGGGAGCCCCCGCGAACCCGUUGAACCUGAACCGGGUAACACCGGCGGAGGGAAGGUGUCCGGCGUCCCC